AUUAUCAAUGCAACAUUUAAUAAUUGAAUCUUAAUGAUCAUUAUAAACUCAUCAAAUAGAAUAUAUGCAAAAGUUUACCACUUCAAUAAUUAUAACACCAUAAAUCACAUAAAUGAUAAAUUGCCUUUGCCCAAUAAACUUGGUUGGCAAUUAUGCAAAGCAAUUAAUUUAUCACUACCUUUGAAAUAUUUACUCUUUAUCAGCUAUUAUAUUUGGAGUAACGCUUUGAGAAACUCGGUUGUUCGAGAGAGACGAGAUGGUCAUCCAUGGAAGAACGAAGAGAGUUAAUUGGCUGAAUCGAAUUAAGAGUCAGCCGAUAUUUUCAUCGCUGCAAUUCUCUAAUUAGCCGCGGACGAAUUGACCAAUUGUUUCCACUAGUUUGCACGUCCGCCUCUCGUUAACGACGAGUCAUCGACAAAA